AGAAUGUAGCUCUGAGGGGGCCACUAUUGCCUGAGACCUUCAACAAAGUUAUACCUUUUUCUCCCCAGAGAGUUACCUCCCACCCAGGAGCAGUCUGCACCUGAACCUCCACCUGUAACAACUCAGAAGGAGAGGACUCCACCUCCCAAGGCUUCACCAGGCUACAUUAUCAGGGGCGUGUUCACCAAGCCUGUCGAUAGCACAUCUCUGCCACAGACUCAAUUCCCACCUGCGGAAACUUCCAAAAGUUCUAUAAUUCCAGGGAAAUCUGCCAGUAGCAAACUGCCCCGACACAUGGUCUCUGGUUAUAAAGUCAUUCCUGAUGAAUACAACAAGAAGAUAGCUGAAGCUGCCUCCGGCCAGCUUCCACGAGCUGCCACCUGGGGGCGCUCCUAUGUGCUGUCUGCUGCCAAGAAGAACUCAGAGUGAGUACAUGUCCCAGG
rnacentral:lncRNA from 1 species